rnacentral:rRNA from 1 species
GACGAACGCGGGCGGCGUGCUUAACACAUGCAAGUCGAACGAUGAAGCCUAGCUUGCUAGGUGGAUUAGUGGCGAACGGGUGAGUAAUACGUGAGUAACCUACCUUUAACUCUGGGAUAAGCCUGGGAAACUGGGUCUAAUACCGGAUACGACCAAUCUCCGCAUGGGGUGUUGGUGGAAAGCGUUAUGUAGUGGUUAUAGAUGGGCUCACGGCCUAUCAGCUUGUUGGUGAGGUAACGGCUCACCAAGGCGACGACGGGUAGCCGGCCUGAGAGGGUGACCGGCCACACUGGGACUGAGACACGGCCCAGACUCUUACGGGAGGCAGCAGUGGGGAAUAUUGCACAAUGGGCGCAAGCCUGAUGCAGCGACGCCGCGUGAGGGAUGACGGCCUUCGGGUUGUAAACCUCUGUUAGCAGGGAAGAAGAGAGAUUGACGGUACCUGCAGAGAAAGCGCCGGCUAACUACGUGCCAGCAGCCGCGGUAAUACGUAGGGCGCGAGCGUUGUCCGGAAUUAUUGGGCGUAAAGAGCUUGUAGGCGGUUUGUCGCGUCUGCUGUGAAAGGCCGGAGCUUAACUCCGUGUAUUGCAGUGGGUACGGGCAGACUAGAGUGCAGUAGGGGAGACUGGAAUUCCUGGUGUAGCGGUGGAAUGCGCAGAUAUCAGGAGGAACACCGAUGGCGAAGGCAGGUCUCUGGGCUGUAACUGACGCUGAGAAGCGAAAGCAUGGGGAGCGAACAGG